GGGCAGCUGGGGUGUUAGCGGUACCCUGUACCAGCAAUCCGCUAUAGCUGGAGUGAUAUCCUGCCCCGGGUCUUUGGCAGUGGAGCUGCCUUUUGUAAGCGACGUUGAUCUCCGGGUCUUGCGCGACGGAAAUCCGUGAACCAGGUCAGGUCAGGAAUGGAGCAGCCUUAAGCGGAACCUUUCGGGUGCCGCAAGGGUGCCUGGGGUGAGUUGGCUGCAGAAGUAACGUCUGGUGUCGGGAUUCAAAGCAGGAUGCCC
rnacentral:SRP_RNA from 1 species